GGUUCCUUAGAUCGUACACGCUACAUGGAUAACUGUAGUAAUUCUAGAGCUAAUACAUGCCACUAUGCCCUGACCCGAAAGGGAACGGGUGGAUUUAUUAGAACAGAACCAACCGGGGACGAUUUCGGUCGUUCCUGUUGAACUCUGUGAUGACUCUGGAUAACUUUACUGAUCGCAGUCGGCCUUGUGUCGGCGACGGAUCUUUCAAAUGUCUGCCCUAUCAACUUUCGAUGGUAGGUGAUCUGCCUACCAUGGUGAUAACGGGUAACGGGGAAUCAGGGUUCGAUUCCGGAGAGGGAGCCUGAGAAACGGCUACCACAUCCAAGGAAGGCAGCAGGCGCGAAAAUUACCCACUCCCGGCACGGGGAGGUAGUGACGAAAAAUACGAAUACGGGACUCACUCGAGGCUCCGUAAUUCGAAUGAGUACAAUCUAAAUCCUUUAACGAGGACCAAUUGGAGGGCAAGUCUGGUGCCAGCAGCCGCGGUAACUCCAGCUCCAAAAGCGUAUAUUAAAGUUGCUGCAGUUAAAAAGCUCGUAGUUGGAUCUGGGUCGCGCGUUCACAUGUCGUUGCGUGGUUCUGGCUUCGGUCAGGUCUGUGUGAUGAUGAGGUGGUCGUGCAGCCUUUCAGCCGUGUCUGCGUGAGCAGGUGUUGGCUGGUCGGUGGGCUUGCUCGCUGGCUAGUUGGCAUGUUUC
rnacentral:rRNA from 1 species